rnacentral:tRNA from 1 species
CGCGGGGUAGAGCAGCUCGGUAGCUCGCUGGGCUCAUAACCCAGAGGUCGCAGGUUCAAAUCCUGUCCCCGCUA